rnacentral:rRNA from 1 species
UGAGGAAUCUUGCACAAUGGGCGAAAGCCUGAUGCAGCGACGCCGCGUGGAGGAUGAAGGUCUUCGGAUUGUAAACUUCUGUUAAGUGGGGCGAAAGACGCAAUUUUAAUAGAAUUGUGGGAUGACGGUACCAUUAGAGAAAGCACCGGCUAACUUCGUGCCAGCAGCCGCGGUAAUACGAAGGGUGCAAGCGUUAUUCGGAAUGAUUGGGCGUAAAGGGUGCGCAGACGGUUUGUUAAGUCAACUGUUAAAUUUCCCGGCCUAACUGGGAGCUCGCAGUAGAAACUGGCAGACUAGAGGAUGGAAGAGAGAAGUGGAAUUCUCGGAGUAGCGGUAAAAUGCGUAGAUCUCGAGAGGAACACCGAUGGCGAAGGCAGCUUCUUGGUCCAUUUCUGACGUUCAAGCACGAAAGCGUGGGGAGCAAACAGGAUUAGAUACCCCCGUAGUCC